rnacentral:rRNA from 1 species
UACCAGCACCCCAAGUGGUCGGGACGAUUAUUGGGCCUAAAGCAUCCGUAGCCGGUUCUACAAGUCUUCCGUUAAAUCCACCUGCUUAACAGAUGGGCUGCGGAGGAUACUAUAGAGCUAGGAAGCGGGAGAGGCAAGCGGUACUUAGUGGGUAGGGGUAAAAUCCGUUGAUCCAUUGAAGACCACCAGUGGCGAAGGCGGCUUGCCAGAACGCACUCGACGGUGAGGGAUGAAAGCUGGGGGAGCAAACCGG